rnacentral:sRNA from 1 species
GUGUUGCGGGAGAUCCCGAGUAUGACGGCGAUCUCAUCGCUCGUCUU